GUUUCCAUAGUGUAGUGGUUAUCACAUUCGCCUAACAUGUGAAAGGUCCCUGGUUCGAGACUGGGUGGAAAUA